CCCUAGCCCUGAUGGGAACGGCAUCCUUUUGUGGCGGGGUUCGCCACAAAAGAUAUAGUGAACAGCAGGAAAAAGC
rnacentral:sRNA from 1 species